rnacentral:rRNA from 1 species
AGAGUUCGAUCAAGGCUCAGGAUGAACGCUAGCGGGAGGCUUAACACAUGCCAUUCGAGGGGUAACAGGAGAGCUUGCUCUUGCUGACGACCGGCGGACGGGUGAGUAACGCGUAUGCAACCUACCCAUUACAGGGGGAUAGCCCGAAGAAAUUCGGAUUAAUACCUCAUGAUAUUAAUAGACUGCAUGGUUUAUUAAUUAAAGAUUCAUCGGUAAUGGAUGGGCAUGCGUAUCAUUAGCUAGUUGGUAAGGUAACGGCUUACCAAGGCAACGAUGAUUAUGGGGUCUUAAAGGAUGGUCCCACACACUGGUACUGAGACACGGACCAGACUCCUACGGGAGGCAGCAGUGAGGAAUAUUGGUCAAUGGGUGAGAGCCUGAACCAGCCAUCCCGCGUGAAGGAAUACAGCCCUAUGGGUUUUAAACUUCUUUUAUAUGAGAAGAACGGCAGAAGUUUUGUUCUGUAUGACGGUAUCAUAUGAAUAAGCAUCGGCUAACUCCGUGCCAGCAGCCGCGGUAAUACGGAGGAUGCAAGCGUUAUCCGGAUUUAUUAGGUUUAAAGGGUGCGUAGGUGGCUUUAUAAGUCAGUGGUGAAAUAUUUUAGCUUAACUAAGAUACUGCCAUUGAUACUGUAUGGCUAGAGUUUGCGCGAGGUAUGCGGAAUGCGUAAUGUAGCGGUGAAAUGCAUAGAUAUUACUCAGAACUCCGAUUGCGAAGGCAGCAUACUAGAGCAACACUGACACUGAUGCACGAAAGCGUGGGUAGCGAACAGGAUUAGAUACCCUGGUAGUCCACGCCGUAAACGAUGUUCACUCGUUGUCUGCGAUACACAGUAGGCGACUACGGGAAACCAUUAAGUGAACCACCUGGGGAGUACGUUCGCAAGAAUGAAACUCAAAGGAAUUGACGGGGGCCCGCACAAGCGGAGGAACAUGUGGUUUAAUUCGAUGAUACGCGAGGAACCUUACCUGGUUUUAAAUGUAGAUUGCAUAGUUUGGAAACGGACUUUCUCUUCGGAGCUAUUUACAAGGUGCUGCAUGGUUGUCGUCAGCUCGUGCCGUGAGGUGUCGGGUUAAGUCCCAUAACGAGCGCAACCCCUAUUGUUAGUUGCUAACAGGUAAAGCUGAGAACUCUAGCGAGACUGCCACCGUAAGGUGCGAGGAAGGUGGGGAUGACGUCAAAUCAGCACGGCCCUUAUAACCAGGGCUACACACGUGUUACAAUGGUCAAGACAAAGAGCAGCCAUCUGGCAACAGAGCGCGAAUCUCGAAACUUGAUCCUAGUUCGGAUCGGAGUCUGCAACUCGACUCCGUGAAGCUGGAUUCGCUAGUAAUCGUAUAUCAGCCAUGAUACGGUGAAUACGUUCCCGGGCCUUGUACACACCGCCCGUCAAGCCAUGGAAGUUGGGGGUACCUGAAGUC